AAAAAUCCAUUUGGACCGAGAAGUGAGCUUUGCGAGUCGAAUAUCUCGCACGUAGUGUUGCCGCUUUUCCGCGUGCGUGAUUGGCUGGCGCGGUCGAGAUUGACGGCGAUCGCGAGAUCGCGGCGAGUUUGGCGAGUUUCGCGUGUGUUAAAUCGUGCGACGUGACGUGUGUUCGCGUGGUGUCUCGCGAGAUAAUAUUCCGAUGAAUUUAAUGUUCGAGAAGAUCUGAUGGGAUUAGCUAUUGGUGCUCAUGAUGCAAAUAUUCAACAAGCGUGAAAAGUUGAUGACAUUACAAAUAUAGUUAGAAGAAAAUUCAUGCACAUUUAAGAUAUAUAGAGAGACGCAUGAAGCUGUUAAGAAAGACCGAUCUAUGCAGGAAUAAAGCAGUAACCUAAAAAUAGAUAGUGACAGUGUGACAGUCGUGACCAUCGCCGCGUGAUAGAUGAUAGUGAUAGUGAAAUAUAUAUUGACGGCAGGGAGCUGAUGCCGAGGAGAUCUUUAAGAAGGAAGGACCAUUUUAUAUUCAACUAUAUGGUAUACAAUUUUGCCGCUAUAUAUUGACCGCAGGGAGCUGAUACCGAAGAGAUCUUUAAGAAGGAAGGUGUAUCCAAAAUUGCACA